rnacentral:rRNA from 1 species
GAUGAACGCUGGCGGCGUGCCUAAUACAUGCAAGUCGAGCGAACAGAUGAGGAGCUUGCUCCUCUGACGUUAGCGGCGGACGGGUGAGUAACACGUGGAUAACCUACCUAUAAGACUGGGAUAACUUCGGGAAACCGGAGCUAAUACCGGAUAAUAUAUUUAACCGCAUGGUUCAAUAGUGAAAGACGGUUUUGCUGUCACUUAUAGAUGGAUCCGCGCCGCAUUAGCUAGUUGGUAAGGUAACGGCUUACCAAGGCAACGAUGCGUAGCCGACCUGAGAGGGUGAUCGGCCACACUGGAACUGAGACACGGUCCAGACUCCUACGGGAGGCAGCAGUAGGGAAUCCUCCGCAAUGGGCGAAAGCCUGACGGAGCAACGCCGCGUGAGUGAUGAAGGUCUUCGGAUCGUAAAACUCUGUUAUUAGGGAAGAACAAAUGUGUAAGUAACUAUGCACGUCUUGACGGUACCUAAUCAGAAAGCCACGGCUAACUACGUG